CACGUAGGGGGCGAGCGUUGUCCGGAUUUAUUGGGCGUAAAGGAGCUCGUGAGGCGGUUUCGUAAGUCGGAUGUGAAAACUCCAGGCUCAACUUGGAGACGCCAUUCGAUACUGCGAUGACUUGAGUCCGGUAGGGGAGUGUGGAAUUCCUGGUGUAGCGGUGAAAUGCGUAGAUAUCUGGAGGAACACCGGUGGCGAAGGCGGCGAUCCUGGACCGACACUGACGCUGAGGCACGAAAGCGUGGGGAAGCAAACAGGG
rnacentral:rRNA from 1 species